UAAGCGACUAAGCGUACACGGUGGAUGCCCUGGCAGUCAGAGGCGAUGAAGGACGUGCUAAUCUGCGAUAAGCGUCGGUAAGGUGAUAUGAACCGUUAUAACCGGCGAUUUCCGAAUGGGGAAACCCAGUGUGAUUCGUCACACUAUCAUUAACUGAAUCCAUAGGUUAAUGAGGCGAACCGGGGGAACUGAAACAUCUAAGUACCCCGAGGAAAAGAAAUCAACCGAGAUUCCCCCAGUAGCGGCGAGCGAACGGGGAGGAGCCCAGAGCCUGAAUCAGUGUGUGUGUUAGUGGAAGCGUCUGGAAAGGCGCGCGAUACAGGGUGACAGCCCCGUACACAAAAAUGCACAUGCUGUGAGCUCGAUGAGUAGGGCGGGACACGUGGUAUCCUGUCUGAAUAUGGGGGGACCAUCCUCCAAGGCUAAAUACUCCUGACUGACCGAUAGUGAACCAGUACCGUGAGGGAAAGGCGAAAAGAACCCCGGCGAGGGGAGUGAAAAAGAACCUGAAACCGUGUACGUACAAGCAGUGGGAGCACGCUUAGGCGUGUGACUGCGUACCUUUUGUAUAAUGGGUCAGCGACUUAUAUUCUGUAGCAAGGUUAACCGAAUAGGGGAGCCGAAGGGAAACCGAGUCUUAACUGGGCGUUAAGUUGCAGGGUAUAGACCCGAAACCCGGUGAUCUAGCCAUGGGCAGGUUGAAGGUUGGGUAACACUAACUGGAGGACCGAACCGACUAAUGUUGAAAAAUUAGCGGAUGACUUGUGGCUGGGGGUGAAAGGCCAAUCAAACCGGGAGAUAGCUGGUUCUCCCCGAAAGCUAUUUAGGUAGCGCCUCGUGAAUUCAUCUCCGGGGGUAGAGCACUGUUUCGGCAAGGGGGUCAUCCCGACUUACCAACCCGAUGCAAACUGCGAAUACCGGAGAAUGUUAUCACGGGAGACACACGGCGGGUGCUAACGUCCGUCGUGAAGAGGGAAACAACCCAGACCGCCAGCUAAGGUCCCAAAGUCAUGGUUAAGUGGGAAACGAUGUGGGAAGGCCCAGACAGCCAGGAUGUUGGCUUAGAAGCAGCCAUCAUUUAAAGAAAGCGUAAUAGCUCACUGGUCGAGUCGGCCUGCGCGGAAGAUGUAACGGGGCUAAACCAUGCACCGAAGCUGCGGCAGCGACGCUUAUGCGUUGUUGGGUAGGGGAGCGUUCUGUAAGCCUGUGAAGGUGUGCUGUGAGGCAUGCUGGAGGUAUCAGAAGUGCGAAUGCUGACAUAAGUAACGAUAAAGCGGGUGAAAAGCCCGCUCGCCGGAAGACCAAGGGUUCCUGUCCAACGUUAAUCGGGGCAGGGUGAGUCGACCCCUAAGGCGAGGCCGAAAGGCGUAGUCGAUGGGAAACAGGUUAAUAUUCCUGUACUUGGUGUUACUGCGAAGGGGGAACGGAGAAGGCUAUGUUGGCCGGGCGACGGUUGUCCCGGUUUAAGCGUGUAGGCUGGUUUUCCAGGCAAAUCCGGAAAAUCAAGGCUGAGGCGUGAUGACGAGGCACUACGGUGCUGAAGCAACAAAUGCCCUGCUUCCAGGAAAAGCCUCUAAGCAUCAGGUAACAUCAAAUCGUACCCCAAACCGACACAGGUGGUCAGGUAGAGAAUACCAAGGCGCUUGAGAGAACUCGGGUGAAGGAACUAGGCAAAAUGGUGCCGUAACUUCGGGAGAAGGCACGCUGAUAUGUAGGUGAAGUCCCUCGCGGAUGGAGCUGAAAUCAGUCGAAGAUACCAGCUGGCUGCAACUGUUUAUUAAAAACACAGCACUGUGCAAACACGAAAGUGGACGUAUACGGUGUGACGCCUGCCCGGUGCCGGAAGGUUAAUUGAUGGGGUUAGCGCAAGCGAAGCUCUUGAUCGAAGCCCCGGUAAACGGCGGCCGUAACUAUAACGGUCCUAAGGUAGCGAAAUUCCUUGUCGGGUAAGUUCCGACCUGCACGAAUGGCGUAAUGAUGGCCAGGCUGUCUCCACCCGAGACUCAGUGAAAUUGAACUCGCUGUGAAGAUGCAGUGUACCCGCGGCAAGACGGAAAGACCCCGUGAACCUUUACUAUAGCUUGACACUGAACAUUGAGCCUUGAUGUGUAGGAUAGGUGGGAGGCUUUGAAGUGUGGACGCCAGUCUGCAUGGAGCCGACCUUGAAAUACCACCCUUUAAUGUUUGAUGUUCUAACGUGGACCCGUAAUCCGGGUUGCGGACAGUGUCUGGUGGGUAGUUUGACUGGGGCGGUCUCCUCCUAAAGAGUAACGGAGGAGCACGAAGGUUGGCUAAUCCUGGUCGGACAUCAGGAGGUUAGUGCAAUGGCAUAAGCCAGCUUGACUGCGAGCGUGACGGCGCGAGCAGGUGCGAAAGCAGGUCAUAGUGAUCCGGUGGUUCUGAAUGGAAGGGCCAUCGCUCAACGGAUAAAAGGUACUCCGGGGAUAACAGGCUGAUACCGCCCAAGAGUUCAUAUCGACGGCGGUGUUUGGCACCUCGAUGUCGGCUCAUCACAUCCUGGGGCUGAAGUAGGUCCCAAGGGUAUGGCUGUUCGCCAUUUAAAGUGGUACGCGAGCUGGGUUUAGAACGUCGUGAGACAGUUCGGUCCCUAUCUGCCGUGGGCGCUGGAGAAUUGAGGGGGGCUGCUCCUAGUACGAGAGGACCGGAGUGGACGCAUCACUGGUGUUCGGGUUGUCAUGCCAAUGGCACUGCCCGGUAGCUAAAUGCGGAAGAGAUAAGUGCUGAAAGCAUCUAAGCACGAAACUUGCCCCGAGAUGAGUUCUCCCUGACUCCUUGAGAGUCCUGAAGGAACGUUGAAGACGACGACGUUGAUAGGCCGGGUGUGUAAGCGCAGCGAUGCGUUGAGCUAACCGGUACUAAUGAACCGUGAGGCUUAACCU
rnacentral:rRNA from 1 species